GCUCGGUAAGGUGGCGGCAGCCGCUCCCGCCGGGCGGGCGGCGGGUGUCGGGGUGGUAGGCCUGGGAGGGCCUGCUCGGGUCUUCCCUUCACAUCUUGCCCUCUCGGAGCCUGGCCGUGCUCCGGGGAGUCAACACAGGGGGAUAGAGCACCUUUCCCUCACAGAAACCCAGCGCGGAGCCCUCCCCUCCGCCCUGCAGCCUGUCGUGAGGCACACGCCCUCCCCUGCCCUCCCCUCCCCCCCCGGCCGCUCCUGGCUGACUUCUCGCCCCCUCCGCAGCGUGUGGCGAGGGCCGCUCGCAGCCCAUGGCGGCCGCCCGGCAGGAGGGAGGCAGGAAGCGUCCCCAGGGCCUGGCGAGGCCUGGCGGCGUCCCCGGGCCGGCGCCCCAUGGCCUGCGGCGCCAUGCGGAGGCCUCGCCGGUGGCCCCUUGCUGAGGAUCUGCAGUCAGGCUGUAUUGAGAAAAUUACAGUUAUGACCUUCAGCGUUUGGGGUAUUGAAUGCUGUACGGCACUUAAAUUCAAGUGGACUUUAAAUCUUUUAAAACACAAGAGCUCCUGCUCAGCAACUUCAUGUUUGAAACAUUCUAGACAUGAAUGAUCACACCUAAAUUAGAAGCAAUGCUCAAGAUUUCUUAAGAGUAACUUCUGCUAGAAGGUUUCUCAAAUGUGUUGAUGCUUUGUUAACAUCUUGAACUGAAGAGAGUUCCUUGUAAAUUGAUUGGUCUUCAGGGUUGAAACCAGCAUAUGCAGGUUUUUGAACAUCAGCUUAGGAUGUGAUGAGUGGCUAACUCCUCAGUUCAUAUGAGAUGACUCCAGUUGUUGCCUGUAAUGUAUUGUCUUGAAAGUGGAAUUAAGGCAAGUGAUGGCUAAAACCACACAUCUUUAAGGACCGUGUUUAAGCACAUACUUUAUUAAAACUGAGGUUUCUGAACAUAAACUGCUGUAAUUUAUCUCUGUAAAUGAAUCAAAUUAAAACAUAAGAAUGGUGCCAGAA